CACCGCGGUUAGACGAAAGGCCUAAGUUGAUAAUCAUCGGCGUAAAGAGUGGUUAAGGAAAACUUAAAACUAAAGCCGAAUGUUCACAAGGUUGUUAUACGCAUCCGAGAAUAAGAAGCUCCUCCACGAAAGUGGCUUUAACAUACCCGACUCCACGUAAGCUAUGAAA
rnacentral:rRNA from 1 species